rnacentral:rRNA from 1 species
GACAGAGGGGGCAAGCGUUGCUCGGAAUUACUGGGCGUAAAGAGCUCGUAGGCGGUCUGUCGCGUCGGCUGUGAAAACCCGGAGCUCAACUCCGGGCCUGCAGUCGAUACGGGCAAACUGGAGUGUUGCAGGGGAGACUGGAAUUCCUGGUGUAGCGGUGAAAUGCGCAGAUAUCAGGAGGAACACCGGUGGCGAAGGCGGGUCUCGUGGGCAACAACUGACGCUGGAGGAGCGAAAGCGUGGGGAGCGAACAGG